UACGUAGGGUGCGAGCGUUGUCCGGAAUUACUGGGCGUAAAGAGCUCGUAGGUGGUUUGUCGCGUUGUUCGUGAAAUCUCACGGCUUAACUGUGAGCGUGCGGGCGAUACGGGCAGACUUGAGUACUGCAGGGGAGACUGGAAUUCCUGGUGUAGCGGUGGAAUGCGCAGAUAUCAGGAGGAACACCGGUGGCGAAGGCGGGUCUCUGGGCAGUAACUGACGCUGAGGCGCGAAAGCUAGGGGAGCAAACGGG
rnacentral:rRNA from 1 species